UUCCUAUCUUGCCUUUGAGAGAACUGGGUGGCUUGCUUUCAUGCACUUUUGUGUUGCUCAGUUUCGUUGCAGGCAUAAAGGAAACCUCCCAAGGCCUUUAUAUGUUCAAUUGUGUGGGAGCAAGCUAUGCUGUUGCUUGCAAGAAGGGCCUUUGGAAAUCUUUCACCUAUGUAUUUCGUAAUCUUGUCCAGCUAUUUUAUUUUAAUUUUUUUUUUAAAAAACUGUGCCAGCUAUUAUGCUUUUGCUUGCAAAAGAACCUCUUUAUGUCUUUUACCUACGUAUUAUAAUGUAAUUCCAAUUUAUUUGGGAUUUUAGGCAAAAAAAAUUCUGGUUGUCUAUUGCUGAUGCACAUACUGGGCAAGUAUUUCUUUGAUAGAGUGAAAUUUAUUUUAUUUUUUUGUAGUAAUUCAAUUCUAUAACUAGCAGUUUGGAUCUUUGGACUAGAGAUUAGACCCUGUUACAGUUUUUUAGCUUGUAUCCUUAACCCAAUUAGAUCUUGUCGUGUAUAAAUAUAAUGUCAAACAUCACUUCUGUUUCUACUUGCCUUUAAGAGAAUUGGGUGGCUUGUUUGGAUGCUCUUCUGUGCUACUCAGUUCCGUUGCAGGCAUAGAUAAAGCUUCCUAUGGUUCAUCAUUUUGUGUGCAACUUAUGUUGCUGCCUGUGACAAGAGCCUUAGGAGAAAUUCUAUUGUUUUAUAAGCAGUUCUGUUUAAUUUGGGUGUUUGGAUUAAACUCCCAGUAAUUGUGGUUGUUGUGGCUGUUCCAAAAGGUCUUGCAUGGAUUAGGGUGCAACACAAACAAAAGUUUUUUGAAGCACUCAAUUUCACCCAGCUAAU
rnacentral:lncRNA from 1 species